CAACUCAUAUUCAAGAAACAAUUACAACUAAUGUAUUGUAUACAUUUGUUGAAAAACAAAGUAUAACAUUGUCCACUGUCAAAGGAUUGGACAGAAUUGACCUCGUUAUACUUACACAAAUGUAUAUAUAUUUUCAAACAUUGCUAUGGAUGCAAAGAAAAAACACAUAGGACAAUAGACAUUAAAUAUCAUACACAGAGCUGCCAACCUGAAAAGGAACAUUUCAGUAUUU